AAUUUGGAUGCCCUUACAUUGAGCUCACUUCUCAAUUUGAAUCAAAUUUGGGAUGACAAUCAUCAAUCAAUGUGCAACUUGACUAGCUUGAUUGUGGAUAAUUGUGUUGGAUUGAAGUAUUUAUUCUCCUCUACUUUGGUUGAAAGUUUUAUGAACCUCAAACACCUUGAAAUAAGUAACUGUCAUAUGAUGGAGGAGAUAAUAGCUAAAAAUGACGGAAACAAUGCACUGAAAGAGGUUCAUUUUUUGAAAUUAGAGAAAAUCAUACUGAAGGAUAUGGACAACUUGAAGACAAUAUGGCAUCACCAAUUUGAAACAUCGAAGAUGUUGGAAGUGAACAAUUGUAAGAAAAUUGUGGUGGUUUUUCCAUCUU